rnacentral:rRNA from 1 species
AAUCAACGCUGGCGGCGUGCCUAACACAUGCAAGUCGCACGAGAAAGGGACUUCGGUCCUGAGUACAGUGGCGCACGGGUGAGUAACACGUGAAUCAUCUACCUUCGAGUGGGGAAUAACUGAGAGAAAUCUUAGCUAAUACCGCAUAAUACCUACGGGUCAAAGCAGCAAUGCGCUUGAAGAGGAGUUCGCGGCAGAUUAGUUAGUUGGCAGGGUAAUGGCCUACCAAGACGAUGAUCUGUAUCCGGCCUGAGAGGGCGCACGGACACACUGGAACUGAAACACGGUCCAGACUCCUACGGGAGGCAGCAGUGGGGAAUUUUGCGCAAUGGGGGAAACCCUGACGCAGCAACGCCGCGUGGAGGAU